rnacentral:sRNA from 1 species
UUACAAGAUGCCAUUAACACCAGCUUGAUUGAGUGAUGGCAGUGUUAAAACACGUGUUGUGGGAAACUGGCCAGAGAGAUCCCAGGGUGCGGUUGCAGUAUGGAGGAGAGGAUUUCUGUCGGGUCUGAUGAAUCUGGAGUCAAGCAUUUACCCUGAUAUUGGAAAGUUUCCAAGAGAUCUCGGCUCCGUCGUUGGCAGAACAGACAAAAUAUCCAGCCCAGCUAGAUCCAGUUCUGGAGGAUUCUGAACAACUUCCAAUGACCAGAUCUGUUUGUAGGACUGGAGGAAUAUGGUGGAGAACAUAAUCAGAAUAGAGAGGAAAAUAAGGUGAAGGAGCUGGGGACCGAACCCAGG